CCACGGAGGUAAUCAACGACGACAUAACUGCUCCGGCACCGGCUGGGGAGCCAAUUCAACUAAAGGAGGAGUGAGUGUUCGCUCAAAUUGGUGAAAGAGGCGAGCAGCAAGAGCAUCGGCGAUGUGCCCUCGACACGGGGGCAACAAACCAUAUGAGCGAGGCCAAGUCUGCGUUAUCGGAGCUUGACUCGAGGAUUUGCGGGAUGGUGAAAUUCGGCGACGGCUCCGUCGUUGAGAUCGAAGGGCACGACACCAUCCUGUUCGUCGGCAACGGAGACAAGCACCACAAGCUGACCAGCGUCUACUUCAUCCCGAGGCUCAAGGCUGAUAUUGUGAGUCUGGGUCAACUCGAUAAGGCCGGCUGCCACAUUUCAAUCAAGUGCGGGCUACUGAGGAUCCACGAUGAUCGACAAUGGUUGCUCACGCAAGUUCGGUGCACGGCAAACUGCCUUUACAUCCUAGAGUUGGAGAUAGAGCAAUCAGUCAACCUCUCGGCCAGGUACCGGAGGAUGGAAGAUCUAUUAGGAAGAGGUGGCUGAACAAGACGUGGAGUCUGGAGGA